rnacentral:rRNA from 1 species
UAAGGAAGUGCAGCUUGCAUGCCUGCAGGUCGACGAUUAGAGUUUGAUCAUGGCUCAGAUUGAACGCUGGCGGCAGGCUUAACACAUGCAAGUCGAGCGGGGAAAAGUAGCUUGCUACUUAACUUAGCGGCGGACGGGUGAGUAAUACUUAGGAAUCUGCCUAUUAGUGGGGGACAACAUUUCGAAAGGAAUGCUAAUACCGCAUACGUCCUACGGGAGAAAGCAGGGGAUCACUUGUGACCUUGCGCUAAUAGAUGAGCCUAAGUCGGAUUAGCUAGUUGGUGGGGUAAAGGCCUACCAAGGCGACGAUCUGUAGCGGGUCUGAGAGGAUGAUCCGCCACACUGGGACUGAGACACGGCCCAGACUCCUACGGGAGGCAGCAGUGGGGAAUAUUGGACAAUGGGGGGAACCCUGAUCCAGCCAUGCCGCGUGUGUGAAGAAGGCCUUUUGGUUGUAAAGCACUUUAAGCGAGGAGGAGGCUACUCUAGUUAAUACCUAGAGAUAGUGGACGUUACUCGCAGAAUAAGCACCGGCUAACUCUGUGCCAGCAGCCGCGGUAAUACAGAGGGUGCGAGCGUUAAUCGGAUUUACUGGGCGUAAAGCGUGCGUAGGUGGCCAAUUAAGUCAAAUGUGAAAUCCCCGAGCUUAACUUGGGAAUUGCAUUCGAUACUGGUUGGCUAGAGUAUGGGAGAGGAUGGUAGAAUUCCAGGUGUAGCGGUGAAAUGCGUAGAGAUCUGGAGGAAUACCGAUGGCGAAGGCAGCCAUCUGGCCUAAUACUGACACUGAGGUACGAAAGCAUGGGGAGCAAACAGGAUUAGAUACCCUGGUAGUCCAUGCCGUAAACGAUGUCUACUAGCCGUUGGGGUCUUUGAGACUUUAGUGGCGCAGCUAACGCGAUAAGUAGACCGCCUGGGGAGUACGGUCGCAAGACUAAAACUCAAAUGAAUUGACGGAAUCUCUAGAGGAUCCCCGGU